GAGUUUGAUCAUGGCUCAGAACGAACGCUGGCGGCAUGCCUAACACAUGCAAGUCGAACGAACUCUUCGGAGUUAGUGGCGCACGGGUGCGUAACGCGUGGGAAUCUGCCCUUGGGUACGGAAUAACUCAGAGAAAUUUGUGCUAAUACCGUAUAAUGACUUCGGUCCAAAGAUUUAUCGCCCAAGGAUGAGCCCGCGUAAGAUUAGCUAGUUGGUGGGUAAAGGCCUACCAAGGCUACGAUCUUUAGCUGGUCUGAGAGGAUGAUCAGCCACACUGGGACUGAGACACGGCCCAGACUCCUACGGGAGGCAGCAGUGGGGAAUAUUGGACAAUGGGCGAAAGCCUGAUCCAGCAAUGCCGCGUGAGUGAUGAAGGCCUUAGGGUUGUAAAGCUCUUUUACCCGGGAUGAUAAUGACAGUACCGGAGAAUAAGCUCCGGCUAACUCCGUGCCAGCAGCCGCGGUAAU
rnacentral:rRNA from 1 species